GGGGAAUUAGCUCAAAUGGUAGAGCGCUUCGCUUAGCAUCACGAGAGGGUAGCGGGAUCGACGCCUGCAUUCUCCA